GCCGUCCAAGGCAUACACAGAUCUAUAUUGAAUAUUAUAUAGACAAAUAAAUGAAAUGGUGUGCACUCGUCCAAUAUGCCAUCUACCAUAAGUAUUGCAUCUACCAUAAAUCCAUGUUAGGUUAAUAUGCUAUAUUGCUAUCUACAAAUGAAAAUAGGUGUCUUGUCCAACGGACGUGCGGUAGAUAACAUAAGACUUAAUCACUGGUUAAGUAACCGGAUGGAGUUGGUCAUGGAGUUCUAGUUCCAAUAGUUCAAUGAUGACAUUACAGCAGUCGGGAUAGAAACAUCUGAUACCAAUACAUCUUGCAACCUUGCAAAUUAUGACACAAUCUUAUCAACUGAAUCUGGUGUAAAAGAAAAAAAAAUUAAAGCUUGACAAAGUGAAAGUUCAAAUAUUACUCAUGAAUUUUUGAAGGAACCUAAAGAGAGUAGACCAUUACCACCAGUUUUACCAGUUCAGCCAAAUACAGGAGAACUCGCAGGAGAAUUAAAUGAAAACGAUACGGUAGAAAAUUUAAAAUUAUUUGAUAAUUGAUUUUAUAUUAUUAUUUUGUAAUAAACAAUUAACCAUAUUAUAUAAAAUCAUGACCCGUCAAAAACCAUGCUAAUAUGUACCUAUACAUGAUGGAUACAUGAUAUGCGGGUUACAUUCCUUAAUCUAAUAUGGAACUUGCCCAAAAUAAAAUGUGUUUAUAAAUGUUUGUCUAACUAUAUUUUAUUUGCUCUACUA